GAUCAUGGCUCAGGAUGAACGCUAGCUACAGGCUUAACACAUGCAAGUCGAGGGGCAGCAUUUUAGUUUGCUUGCAAACUGAAGAUGGUGACCGGCGCACGGGUGAGUAACACGUAUCCAACCUGCCGAUAACUCCGGAAUAGCCUUUCGAAAGAAAGAUUAAUACCGGAUAGUAUACGAAUAUCGCAUGAUAUUUUUAUUAAAGAAUUUCGGUUAUCGAUGGGGAUGCGUUCCAUUAGUUUGUUGG
rnacentral:rRNA from 1 species